UCGUACGCUUGUAAAAGCGUGGCGAACGGGUGAGUAAUGGCAAGGAACGUGCCUUUUUCCGGGAAAUACCCAGCCGAAAGGUUGGCUAAUGUCCCAUGAGAUCGCAAGAUCAAAGCUCCGGCGGAAAAAGAUCGGCCUUGCUCCUAUCAGCUAGUUGGUGAGGUAAAGGCUUACCAAGGCUUCGACGGGUAGCUGGUCUGAGAGGAUGAUCAGCCACAAUGGGACUGAGACACGGCCCAUACACCUACGGGUGGCAGCAGUUGGGAAUAUUGCGCAAUGGACGACAGUCUGACGCAGCGACGCCGCGUGAAGGAUGAAGGUUUUCGGAUCGUAAACUUCUUUUAUAGGGGAAGAUUGUGACUGUACCCUAUGAAUAAGGGCCUGCUAACUACGUGCCAGCAGCAGCGGUAAUACGUAGGGCCCGAGCGUUGUCCGGAUUUAUUGGGCGUAAAGAGUAUGUAGGUGGUCUUUUAAGUCGGAUCUUAAAUUCCCAGGCUCAACUUGGGUGCUGGAUUCGAAACUAUUUGACUUGAGGAUAUUAGGGGUAAGCGGAAUUAGCGGUGUAGCAGUGAAAUGCGUUGAUAUCGCUAAGAACACCAAUGGCGAAGGCAGCUUACUAUGAUUUCCCUGACACUGAGAUACGAAAGCGUGGGGAGCGAACGGGAUUAGAUACCCCGGUAGUCCACGCCGUAAACGAUGCACACUAGGUAUCAGAAGUAUCGACCCUUCUUGUACCGAAGCUAACGCGUUAAGUGUGCCGCCUGGGGAGUACGGCCGCAAGGCUAAAACUCAAAGGAAUUGACGGGGACUCGCACAAGCGGUGGAACAUGUGGU
rnacentral:rRNA from 1 species